AGCAUAUCAGACCAAUGGCGCAGCUCAGUACCCGUGGCAUUGCAGCCUACAAAGAUCUUCCCAAUGGCCUCGUUUUUGCCUAGUUUGUCGUAAUCCAGGACUGUCAGGACAACUUGAACUUUCUAUAGAAAGAAAAAAGAUCUCGCCACUCCUCAAUCACGUGUGCCAGGUCCACAGUGUUCAUGGGGAUACGGAUCUCACCAAUGACAUCAUGCUUGGAGAAACGGUCAAAAUCGUAGAGGGCCAUGACGAGAAUCUUACCACCAAGUUCUGAAUAAGGGACCUAAGUAUUAAAGUGCAUUUCUUAUUUUCUGGAUGAUGUUCGAGCAGCUUCCCUAAGCUGACAGGAACACGAAGAUCAGUCUGCCGCUAUCUAAGCCAAGGCAGGUGUUUGUCUUGCCCACCUGUGUGCUCUGGAAGUCGUAAUCAAGAGAGUACUGGAGUUUCCCUAGCUUCUCCUCUGGCUUCUCCACUUCAGAUUCCUGUAACAACGAUGGAUCUAAAUCCUCAACCUCUGGUUGCACCUGGAAGGAAGUAAAGAAGGAAAUGGUCCAAGUAACCAACAGAAAAUCAUUAAGAACAAGGUGGAUGAAGAACUUCUGCAAGGCCACAUGAUCUGUUCGCCCUUUCUCAUUCUUUAUCUAACUUUCAGUCCUCUAUAUAUGGUGUGUUGAGAUGUCACAUCCCAGAAUUUGAAUGCCAUCCUGCCUGGCAAUUCUGAUGGUUAUAAUCCUUGAAAGGCAUCAAAGAUGAGGAAAAGCUGGUUUACUUUGAUCAGAUAUUAUGUGGGCACUCAUACAAGCAUACAAACUCCACUCAGUGUGAAUUUUCCCUUCCAUCAUACACAAAUCUAUCAGACAAUGCUGAUCUUAACAAAUGGAUGUUAUUCAGUUGCCAAACCCUUCAAUAUUUUAGUGCCUGUUCUCCUGCAUGGAUGACAAGUUUCCUCUAAAUCUGAUGAAAAAAAGAGACUUGGUAUGAGAGUCUUGGGAGCAAGGAGAAAAUUAACUCUGGGACCUGACACGUGGAGGAGGCAAACUAGUAUUCCUGCUAACACUGAUCAAAUGAAUUACUGCAAUUUAUUAAAGGAAUCAGAACAAAUAAAAGAUGGAGGAAGAAUUACAUUGUCACUAGUAGCAUUGCAAAUAAAAUGCCGGAGAGGAUGCUUGGAUAAACAUUUUGCUUCUCUGAUCUCCUCAGAGUCGGCUUGGCUUAACAUAAAUAGAACUUUCUAGAUGCUGGCAUUCUAGUCUUUGACUCUAUGUUUUUCUUCUGUGACAGAAGAAGCUUUUCUGUAGUGUCUAGCAUUCACAAGUUUAACAUCUUACAAUCACUGCCUUCUGGGCAAAAGAAUCCUCAAAAUUGAGCUGUAUUUCCUAUCCUAUGAAUGUCUUUCAACCUCAGCAACUUAUGAUGUGUGGAGAAUUCUGGGAGAUGAAGUCCACACGUCUCGAAACUGCUAGGGUUGAGAAACACUUCUGUCAUAUUAGGCCUGUUUUUUUCCCCUUGUAAAUAUAGAACUCCAGUAAUUACUGGUUUAAGACUGAGAAAAUAUUAUGAAGAAAGCUUAAACAUCUCCUUCUUUUCAGUGGUUUGACCUCUGCAAAAACUCCAACAAUUCAUGUUCCCAGUUCAUCCUUUUGUUUUUACAAAUGGAUCUGCACUCAGAAAAAUCCAUGAGUCAGGCGAUACUACCUGUUAAUGGCAGUUUCCUCUACAAUGUUAUGAUUUCAGUUUUAAGAUGGGGAGAAAGGCCAGAUUUCCAAGCAAAAAGGUGACCAUUCUUCCACCUUGCAUCUUCUUUUUCUUCUUGUGCCAUAUCCGUUAUCAGACGUUGGCGAUCAUGUUGGCGAUCCUGUUUUUAUCAGCAGCCGCACAAAAAAGUGCUGCUGAAUUUUGUCCAAACCAGUCCCUUGCACUGCUUAGUUUUUAUUUCCAGUAAGGCUCAGUUUCCUUCCUUCACAUUGGAUUCUGAAUCCAAUCUGCUUUAUCUCAAGACCACCUCCUUGUGUGACCUCUCACAGAACUCAUGUAAUUGAAACUAUUCUGCUUGAGUCAAGAAUCUGUGCUUGACUCUGUGUUUCCAGAGUUUUCCAGAGGGAAAAGGCUUUGGACAGCCUCUUCUCCUCCUCCUCCUCGCUGGAAUUGUAUUUCUUCAUCUUGCCCCCAAAUUAGGUUAUUGUUUUGUCACUUAUUUCAGCAGUUCCAUAAUGUAAUGAUACCAGCAUUUGAUACCUACUCACCCUAGGUCAGGGGUAGGCAACCUUGGCUCUAUUAUGACUCGUGGACUUCAACUCCCAGAAUUCCUGAGCCCUCCCCCUGCUCACCUUAUCAAUGUAGCUUUUGCCCAACUCCUUCACUUCCUUCAUGUUGAUCUGUGCCUUGACUUUGUCUUUGCCUUUCUUCCCUUUCUUUUUCUUGCCACAGCAUUUUUUAAAAACGCAGAAGCAGCAGCAGAGAAGCAAAAGGCCGGCAACAAUAAGAAUGGUGGCCAAAGCCCAUGGCGGUACUAGAGUGGACACAAAAGGAGAGUAGUGGAAGAUUCUGGAGCAAAGAGAUUGCCUCGUGUUAUAUUACUUACUAGUUAAAUAUGACUUUUCCUAAUUAUCACUAGGAAUAUCUAAUGGACUUUGGCUGAUGUCAGGUUGAUCUUAAUAGGGUCAGACCUGGUUAAUGUAUGGAUUAGUACUGAGGCAAACACAAGCUCAAGAACUGGCAGCUGUGACUUCACAAAGUUGUAUGUAUAAUAACGAUAAUCUAUUUAUUUUAGAUGUCAGUGUAAACAUCUAGCUGACUGCGUGACUAACUGUUAUAAUCAAUAAUAAAUUUAUUAUGAAAUUAUA